GUACUCAUAUCGUCUGUCUCCGGCCAAGAAAAAACAAAAGAGGACCGGAGAUAUAUUAUUAUUCCUUUCGGAGUUAUAUCAACUAUACUAGUUCUUAUUGUUCGCUGCUGUAUGGCAAGAAUGAACCGAGAAAUGCAAUCACAACAGAGGAAAUGUGUUCACUAUUGGCUGAAUCCAGAAACCUACAUUAUGGGUGUCACACCGCAUGGAACUUAAGGCGGCAGGAUCACCCAGAAUGGUUGAAAAUUUUUUUUUUUCGAUGACAGUAACUUAAUAUGUGUCAUUUUAUUCAUAAAUCUUUUCUCUUUCAGAGGGUAAGUUAAACUUUUGCCAGAGCUAUGUAGUUUUUUAGAUAAUUGCAUCUACACAGGGUAGGGGUGGCAUGUCAGAAUGCUCGAAAAUGGAAAAUAACAUUCAGUCACCUGCAACAUGACACACAAAUAAUAACCGCUCCCAAUAUAACUUCUAAAUAAUAAUUACUCCC